CAAUAGUGUAUAUUAAAGUUGUUGCAGUUAAAAAGCUCGUAGUUGAACUUCUGAUAGUGUGCAGUUAUGGUUUCUAUCAGGCUGCAUUGCUGUCAUCCGUCUGCAAACUCUGUUCAAUCUUCACUGGUUGGCAGGGGGAGUAGACAUUUUACUUUGAAAAAAUUAGAGUGUUUCAAGCAGGUUAUUGCCAGAAUACUUUAGCAUGGAAUAAUGGAAUAGGACUCUUGUCCAUUUGGUUGGUUAUUGGACCGGAGUAAUGAUUAAUAGGGACAGUUGGGGGCAUUAGUAUUUAAUUGUCAGAGGUGAAAUUCAUGGAUUUAUUAAAGACUAACUUAUGCGAAAGCAUUUGCCAAGGAUGUUUUCAUUGA
rnacentral:rRNA from 1 species